GACAGAGGGUGCAAACGUUGUUCGGAAUUACUGGGCGUAAAGCGAGUGUAGGCGGUCUCAAAAGUCAGGUGUGAAAACUGGAGGCUUAACCUUCAGACGUCGGCCGAAACCAUCUGGCUAGAGUCCGGAAGAGGAGAGUGGAAUUCCUGGUGUAGCGGUGAAAUGCGCAGAUAUCAGGAAGAACACCCGUGGCUAAGGCGGCUCUCUAGUACGGUACUGACGCUGAGACGCGAAAGCGUGGGGAGCGAACAGG
rnacentral:rRNA from 1 species